AUGGACCUGAAUUCCGGCCAAAUAUACCCGCUGAACUUUAAACAUAACAAUAAAUCCCGAAGGAAU
rnacentral:rRNA from 1 species